rnacentral:rRNA from 1 species
AGAGUUUGAUCCUGGCUCAGAGUGAACGCUGGCGGCGUGCCUAAUACAUGCAAGUCGAACGAUGAAGCUUCUAGCUUGCUAGAAGUGGAUUAGUGGCGCACGGGGUGAGUAACGCAUAGGUCAUGUGCCUCUUAGUUUGGGAUAGCCAUUGGAAACGAUGAUUAAUACCAGAUACUCCCUACGGGGGAAAGAUUUAUCGCUAAGAGAUCAGCCUAUGUCCUAUCAGCUUGUUGGUAAGGUAAUGGCUUACCAAGGCUAUGACGGGUAUCCGGCCUGAGAGGGUGAACGGACACACUGGAACUGAGACACGGUCCAGACUCCUACGGGAGGCAGCAGUAGGGAAUAUUGCUCAAUGGGGGAAACCCUGAAGCAGCAACGCCGCGUGGAGGAUGAAGGUUUUAGGAUUGUAAACUCCUUUUGUUAGAGAAGAUAAUGACGGUAUCUAACGAAUAAGCACAGGCUAACUCCGUGCCAGCAGCCGCGGUAAUACGGAGGGUGCAAGCGUUACUCGGAAUCACUGGGCGUAAAGAGCGCGUAGGCGGGAUAGUCAGUCAGGUGUGAAAUCCUAUGGCUUAACCAUAGAACUGCAUUUGAAACUACUAUUCUAGAGUGUGGGAGAGGUAGGUGGAAUUCUUGGUGUAGGGGUAAAAUCCGUAGAGAUCAAGAGGAAUACUCAUUGCGAAGGCGACCUGCUGGAACAUUACUGACGCUGAUUGCACGAAAGCGUGGGGAGCAAACAGGAUUAGAUACCCUGGUAGUCCACGCCCUAAACGAUGGAUGCUAGUUGUUGGAGGGCUUAGUCUCUCCAGUAAUGCAGCUAACGCAUUAAGCAUCCCGCCUGGGGAGUACGGUCGCAAGAUUAAAACUCAAAGGAAUAGACGGGGACCCGCACAAGCGGUGGAGCAUGUGGUUUAAUUCGAAGAUACACGAAGAACCUUACCUAGGCUUGACAUUGAGAGAAUCCGCUAGAAAUAGUGGAGUGUCUAGCUUGCUAGACCUUGAAAACAGGUGCUGCACGGCUGUCGUCAGCUCGUGUCGUGAGAUGUUGGGUUAAGUCCCGCAACGAGCGCAACCCCCUUUCUUAGUUGCUAACAGGUCAUGCUGAGAACUCUAAGGAUACUGCCUCCGUAAGGAGGAGGAAGGUGGGGACGACGUCAAGUCAUCAUGGCCCUUACGCCUAGGGCUACACACGUGCUACAAUGGGGUGCACAAAGAGAAGCAAUACUGCGAAGUGGAGCCAAUCUUCAAAACGCCUCUCAGUUCGGAUUGUAGGCUGCAACUCGCCUGCAUGAAGCUGGAAUCGCUAGUAAUACGCAAAUCAGCCAUGUUGCGGUGAAUACGUUCCCGGGUCUUGUACUCACCGCCCGUCACACCAUGGGAGUUGUGUUUGCCUUAAGUCAGGAUGCUAAACUAGCUACUGCCCACGGCACACACAGCGACUGGGGUGAAGUCGUAACAAGGUAACCGUAGGUGAACCUGCGGUUG